rnacentral:rRNA from 1 species
GACGAACGCUGGCGGCGUGCUUAACACAUGCAAGUCGAACGGUCAAGCACCUUCCUUUUGGUGGGUGUGGAUGAGUGGCGAACGGGUGAGUAACACGUGAGUAACCUGCCCCCUUCUUCUGGAUAACCGCAUGAAAGUGUGGCUAAUACGGGAUAUUCUGGGUCUGUCGCAUGGCGGGCCUGGGAAAGCUAUUGUUUCGGUGGGGGAUGGGCUCGCGGUCUAGCAGCUUGUUGGUGGGGUGAUGGCCUACCAAGGCGGUGACGGGUAGCCGGCCUGAGAGGGUCGACGGCAACACUGGUGCGGAGACACGGAGCAGACUCCGACGGGAGGCAGCAGGGGGGAAUACUGAACGAUGGGCGCAAGGCUGAUGCAGCGACGCGGCGGGAGGGAUGGAGGCCGUCGGGUAGUAAACCGCUUUCGCCAGUGAAGCAGGCCUGGCCCUUUUGUGGGUGGGUUGACGGUAGCUGGAUAAGAAGCGCCGGCUAACUACGUG